rnacentral:rRNA from 1 species
GUCGAACGUGAAAGCACUUCGGUGUGAGUAGAGUGGCGGACGGGUGAGUAACGCGUAGGAAUCUGCCUGAUAGUGGGGGAUAGCCCGGAGAAAUCCGGAUUAAUACCGCAUAGUCUAUUCGUAGUAAAGGGGGCCUCUAUUUAUAAGCUCUCGCUAUCAGAUGAGCCUGCGUCAGAUUAGCUAGUUGGUAGGGUAAAGGCCUACCAAGGCAACGAUCUGUAGCUGGUCUGAGAGGACGAACAGCCACACUGGGACUGAGACACGGCCCAGACUCCUACGGGAGGCAGCAGUGGGGAAUAUUGGACAAUGGGCGAAAGCCUGAUCCAGCAAUGCCGCGUGUGUGAAGAAGGCCUGCGGGUUGUAAAGCACUUUCAGUUGGGAAGAUGAUGACGUUACCAACAGAAGAAGCACCGGCUAAAUCCGUGCCAGCAGCCGCGGUAAUACGGAUGGUGCGAGCGUUAAUCGGAAUUACUGGGCGUAAAGCGCGCGUAGGCGGCUAAGUCAGUCAGAAGUGAAAGCCCCGGGCUCAACCUGGGAAUUGCUUUUGAUACUGCUUAGCUAGAGUUUGGUAGAGGAUAGUGGAAUUCCAGGUGUAGCGGUGAAAUGCGUAGAUAUCUGGAGGAACAUCAGUGGCGAAGGCGACUGUCUGGACCAAAACUGACGCUGAGGUGCGAAAGCGUGGGUAGCAAACAGGAUUAGAUACCCUGGUAGUCCACGCCCUAAACGAUGUCAACUGGUUGUUGGGAAUUUACUUUCUCAGUAACGAAGCUAACGCGUGAAGUUGACCGCCUGGGGAGUACGG